UACGGAGGGUGCAAGCGUUAUCCGGAUUCACUGGGUUUAAAGGGUGCGUAGGUGGGCAAGUAAGUCAGUGGUGAAAUCUCCGGGCUUAACCCGGAAACUGCCAUUGAUACUAUUUGUCUUGAAUACUGUGGAGGUCAGCGGAAUAUGUCAUGUAGCGGUGAAAUGCUUAGAUAUGACAUAGAACACCGAUAGCGUAGGCAGCUUACUACACGAAUAUUGACACUGAGGCACGAAAGCGUGGGGAUCAAACAGG
rnacentral:rRNA from 1 species